UUUAUCAGCAUUGGAUUCUUUCUCUCCACUCUGAACAAACUUUUCCACCCUUUCAGCACUCACGCUACCUCACAUGCUCCCUUCCCAUCACUCACAACCUCUAUCAUCAGUAAACGAAAAGAAGGAAAACACUUAUUUUCUGCUUUCAAAAGGCAACCCAAAAUCUUUUCAUCUUUCCAACACACAACAACAAAUUCACCUUUCUCUUCUUUUCACACAAAUCAGCAGCCACCUAUCACAAUCACUCUUGAUCUCUCCCUCACGCUACCUCACAUUUUCUCAUCACCAUAAACCCAUUCCAACCUUCAAUUUGCUUUGAACAUCCCUUCUCUCUCCAUUCACAGGGAAGAAAAAACGGUUCACUCUUGUUACACAACCGCCAUCUUCCUCGACACCACACUAACACCUCAUUUUCGCUUCCGCCGAAACAACCUAGAAUAACCGCCGUGAAUCGCCACCACUACCACUACGUCGCCGCAUCAUCCCUCAACCACCGUCAAUUUUGAACCAUCCGCCAUCUUCCUCAUAUAUUCCGGCGAUAAAUUCCAGACCUCAUCGCCGUGUCAAUAACCGAACUCCUUCACACUCAGGCGAAUCCACCUCUGUUCACAGACAUCGCCGCCGCCACGGUUUGCUCUUCUAAAUUCACCACAACCAACCGUGACGCAGAUUCUCUCUUCCCCAACAGGCAAAACCAAGCAACAAAACUUCCAACUCCGCAGCAACAACAAACGACAGCAGUGACACCGCUUCGUUGUAAUGUCCAGUUGGUGUUCUGUUUGGAGAAGUGGCUCUCAUGGGCAAGGCUUUUGUUUAUUGUUAUAUCCAAUAUUUUUUAAUGUUAUCCUCUUUACGUUCCGCUAAUCGCAUCAUGUUGAUUCCAUAGACAUAUUAAACUUCAUAUUGAGUUGUAUUGAAGCAGUUUGGUAUUGAUUGCAAUGAAUUUGUUACAUGUUUAAUGCUAUCAUUUUCUUGCUGUGGGAUUAAAGUGGUUUAGCGUUACGGUAACAGUUUGUGUUGCGUUUUCCUUGAUAUUACGCUGUUGGUUAUAGCCACUGUUUUGAUUUAGAUUUGGCUGCAUUAAUCUAUGUUGAUUGUUGGUAUUAGAAUGUCCUAAUGUUCUUUUCCGGGGUAUUUUCGAUGUGAUCGUGUUGUUGUUGUUGUGCGCUUAAGUUGUCGCGUUUAAAAUUGAAUAUCAUUUGCAGCUUCGACGUGUAAAUGUUUCGAUUAUAUUUCUGUUUCAAUUGCAUAUUUACUUCCUUUCCGAUUGGGUUAUACCGUUUUGGUAUUCAAUAUUAUAAUGUUGAAAAUACUGUUAUAAACAGGAACUUGUAUCAUAUUCUGGUUCUGUUCUAGCUGUUAAAUCAUGCUUAUAGCUCUAAUAUUUGUUUCGGUUUCAAUAUGGUUGCAUUACAUGUCGGCUUUAUUGCAUAAAUCUCAAUGCCGAAUUUCUUCGACCGACCAUUCACGACAACAACCUUCGACAUCGUGGUAACAACAUGAUUUAUUUUUUGUAUUAUACUACUUUGUGUAUGUCUUUUAUUCGAUUCCGCGGCGGUGUUUGUAUGUCUUGUUGUUGUAGAUUCGAUCCCGUGAAACAUUUUGUUAAUGGAGGAUAUAUACUUUUGUUUAUGAAUUUGAUUGGUGAA